rnacentral:rRNA from 1 species
GGGUUGUGAGGUUAAGCGACUAAGCGUACACGGUGGAUGCCCUGGCAGUCAGAGGCGAUGAAGGACGUGCUAAUCUGCGAUAAGCGUCGGUAAGGUGAUAUGAACCGUUAUAACCGGCGAUUUCCGAAUGGGGAAACCCAGUGUGUUUCGACACACUAUCAUUAACUGAAUCCAUAGGUUAAUGAGGCGAACCGGGGGAACUGAAACAUCUAAGUACCCCGAGGAAAAGAAAUCAACCGAGAUUCCCCCAGUAGCGGCGAGCGAACGGGGAGCAGCCCAGAGCCUGAAUCAGUAUGUGUGUUAGUGGAAGCGUCUGGAAAGGCGCGCGAUACAGGGUGACAGCCCCGUACACAAAAAUGCACAUAUUGUGAGCUCGAUGAGUAGGGCGGGACACGUGGUAUCCUGUCUGAAUAUGGGGGGACCAUCCUCCAAGGCUAAAUACUCCUGACUGACCGAUAGUGAACCAGUACCGUGAGGGAAAGGCGAAAAGAACCCCGGCGAGGGGAGUGAAAAAGAACCUGAAACCGUGUACGUACAAGCAGUGGGAGCACGCUUAGGCGUGUGACUGCGUACCUUUUGUAUAAUGGGUCAGCGACUUAUAUUCUGUAGCAAGGUUAACCGAAUAGGGGAGCCGAAGGGAAACCGAGUCUUAACUGGGCGUUAAGUUGCAGGGUAUAGACCCGAAACCCGGUGAUCUAGCCAUGGGCAGGUUGAAGGUUGGGUAACACUAACUGGAGGACCGAACCGACUAAUGUUGAAAAAUUAGCGGAUGACUUGUGGCUGGGGGUGAAAGGCCAAUCAAACCGGGAGAUAGCUGGUUCUCCCCGAAAGCUAUUUAGGUAGCGCCUCGUGAAUUCAUCUCCGGGGGUAGAGCACUGUUUCGGCAAGGGGGUCAUCCCGACUUACCAACCCGAUGCAAACUGCGAAUACCGGAGAAUGUUAUCACGGGAGACACACGGCGGGUGCUAACGUCCGUCGUGAAGAGGGAAACAACCCAGACCGCCAGCUAAGGUCCCAAAGUCAUGGUUAAGUGGGAAACGAUGUGGGAAGGCCCAGACAGCCAGGAUGUUGGCUUAGAAGCAGCCAUCAUUUAAAGAAAGCGUAAUAGCUCACUGGUCGAGUCGGCCUGCGCGGAAGAUGUAACGGGGCUAAACCAUGCACCGAAGCUGCGGCAGCGACACUAUGUGUUGUUGGGUAGGGGAGCGUUCUGUAAGCCUGUGAAGGUGUGCUGUGAGGCAUGCUGGAGGUAUCAGAAGUGCGAAUGCUGACAUAAGUAACGAUAAAGCGGGUGAAAAGCCCGCUCGCCGGAAGACCAAGGGUUCCUGUCCAACGUUAAUCGGGGCAGGGUGAGUCGACCCCUAAGGCGAGGCCGAAAGGCGUAGUCGAUGGGAAACAGGUUAAUAUUCCUGUACUUGGUGUUACUGCGAAGGGGGACGGAGAAGGCUAUGUUGGCCGGGCGACGGUUGUCCCGGUUUAAGCGUGUAGGCUGGUUUUCCAGGCAAAUCCGGAAAAUCAAGGCUGAGGCGUGAUGACGAGGCACUACGGUGCUGAAGCAACAAAUGCCCUGCUUCCAGGAAAAGCCUCUAAGCAUCAGGUAACAUCAAAUCGUACCCCAAACCGACACAGGUGGUCAGGUAGAGAAUACCAAGGCGCUUGAGAGAACUCGGGUGAAGGAACUAGGCAAAAUGGUGCCGUAACUUCGGGAGAAGGCACGCUGAUAUGUAGGUGAAGUCCCUCGCGGAUGGAGCUGAAAUCAGUCGAAGAUACCAGCUGGCUGCAACUGUUUAUUAAAAACACAGCACUGUGCAAACACGAAAGUGGACGUAUACGGUGUGACGCCUGCCCGGUGCCGGAAGGUUAAUUGAUGGGGUUAGCCGCAAGGCGAAGCUCUUGAUCGAAGCCCCGGUAAACGGCGGCCGUAACUAUAACGGUCCUAAGGUAGCGAAAUUCCUUGUCGGGUAAGUUCCGACCUGCACGAAUGGCGUAAUGAUGGCCAGGCUGUCUCCACCCGAGACUCAGUGAAAUUGAACUCGCUGUGAAGAUGCAGUGUACCCGCGGCAAGACGGAAAGACCCCGUGAACCUUUACUAUAGCUUGACACUGAACAUUGAGCCUUGAUGUGUAGGAUAGGUGGGAGGCUUUGAAGUGUGGACGCCAGUCUGCAUGGAGCCGACCUUGAAAUACCACCCUUUAAUGUUUGAUGUUCUAACGUUGACCCGUAAUCCGGGUUGCGGACAGUGUCUGGUGGGUAGUUUGACUGGGGCGGUCUCCUCCUAAAGAGUAACGGAGGAGCACGAAGGUUGGCUAAUCCUGGUCGGACAUCAGGAGGUUAGUGCAAUGGCAUAAGCCAGCUUGACUGCGAGCGUGACGGCGCGAGCAGGUGCGAAAGCAGGUCAUAGUGAUCCGGUGGUUCUGAAUGGAAGGGCCAUCGCUCAACGGAUAAAAGGUACUCCGGGGAUAACAGGCUGAUACCGCCCAAGAGUUCAUAUCGACGGCGGUGUUUGGCACCUCGAUGUCGGCUCAUCACAUCCUGGGGCUGAAGUAGGUCCCAAGGGUAUGGCUGUUCGCCAUUUAAAGUGGUACGCGAGCUGGGUUUAGAACGUCGUGAGACAGUUCGGUCCCUAUCUGCCGUGGGCGCUGGAGAACUGAGGGGGGCUGCUCCUAGUACGAGAGGACCGGAGUGGACGCAUCACUGGUGUUCGGGUUGUCAUGCCAAUGGCACUGCCCGGUAGCUAAAUGCGGAAGAGAUAAGUGCUGAAAGCAUCUAAGCACGAAACUUGCCCCGAGAUGAGUUCUCCCUGACUCCUUGAGAGUCCUGAAGGAACGUUGAAGACGACGACGUUGAUAGGCCGGGUGUGUAAGCGCAGCGAUGCGUUGAGCUAACCGGUACUAAUGAACCGUGAGGCUUAACCUUACAACGCCGAAGCUGUU